UAACCGCCAGCGAAGUCGCAGCGGACGUUGUUCCUCCUCCUCCUCCUCCUCCUCUAUCCUGAUUGGGUUUCGGUCCGGGGUGCUGGGAGUGGGAGGGGGGGGCGGGCGGGAGGAGAGGCCGCUGGUGGUGGCACGGCCUGCGGCGGCGGCGGCGGAGGAGGAGGGGCAGAGGGGGCGGUGGGCCGCGGCGGGGCGGGGCGGGGUUUGGCGUGGGUCCGCCCUUCCCUCGCCGUGUAGCUAGGCAUAGUAAGAAGGGGGGCUUGGCGCGGGCGCUGCUCUCCUCGAGACGAGGACCUAGGGCGGCCAAGGAGGGGCGUCACGGGGGCCAGCGCCGGGAGGUCGCGCGACGCGGUCCCUUUCCAAAUUAUGGACGUCCUUUCCACCUUCAGAAGAUGCCGACCUAGUUAUAACUUGGACUAUCUAUCACGAUGACGGCUGCUUAUAGUCCCUUAGUACUUUCGAGGAGUCGUCGUGGCAUUUGGUUGACUGUGUCUUCGUUUGCAGUUUGAACCACAAUUAUUCUACGUAACGGACUUCGGUCCGUUUAUAUGGGUGUUUAGUGGUCCGUUACAACCCCGAUUUACGUCUUGUCCUCUACCAGUUAGUAAAUGACCGUCAUUCUAACGUAACUUCUCACCAUCGAGAUACCUUCAUGGUAAAGAGUUGAACUGUUUGCACAGACGAGUUGGCGGUUUAAUAAGACCUUUUUACUUCGAAGUCAAAAAAGGUUAUCUACUCCGCUAAGUUUUCCAAGAUGUCGUCCUCUUUGUGUUAGGAAUGGACCUCAACUGAAACCGAGGCGCUUUCUUCUACAGGAGUUAACACGUUGUAGACUUGUGUUUUACCCCGGCAAGAUCAACACGUUUUCCGCUGGAGUACGAGAAGGGUAUGUCACGAUCUGGCCUAUCGUAUCGGUCGUCAUUUUUUACCUGGGAAUUACUAAGAACGUGACGACGACUACAAAUACAACGACAACCGUCGGGAAGUUGUAAGGCAAAUUCCAUACCAACCAAGUUCGGAUUAAACUUCGUUGUUUGGUCACUUCGAAGGAACCGUGGUCACGUGAGACGUCUUUUCUGAAACCCGCUGUUUGGAAGUGUAGGAAAACUCAAAGGUUCAUUUAAACGGUCAGGUAGGCAACUCACAUUGUGUCUCUUCUGGCACCACCUAUUGUUGGUUUCGUUUCGCUGUGGCGAAAGUACCUAACUGUCGUAUAGGUUAUAGUCAAAACCUCGUGACGAUAGCGUCCGACACGGGAGAGUUCUGUCGUUCGUUGGCGGAAACGUUUUGUCGAGCUAAAAGGUCGUCGUCUAAGGACGGUGCACGCUAAGUAAGCUACGACGGUAACGAAGGAACUAACGAGCGGUCGUUUGUUCGUUGGUCGGUUUCCACAGUUUAGGUAGGGGGACCCUUCGUCUACUUUGGACGGUACGUAAGGGAGGAGGGGCCUUAGUUUUAAAUAGGUCCCACGGGAGAACACCGGGACCGUUGUCGUCACGAUAAUAAUGGAGUUGAUAGGAACCAAGGUAACGACUUAGGCCAUGUCUGCCGCUGGUGGUCGUUGUGACCGAUGGUCGCGAGAUGGCUUCCGUGCUUUCUCCCUGGUUCCGGGGGAGUCUGUGGUGGUCCGGACCCGUUACUACUACUACUACACUUCGGACUACACAGCAGCUGCCAUGGUAAAUCUAAAUCCCGGAAUAAUAUUGUCUGUUUGUAGCUAUAGAAACUCUACGAAACGAAACGAAAGAGAACGUGCAUUAACAACUAUCCAAAAAAAUAUUUACCAAAUGAAAGUCGGACUUAGGUGCUGGCCACUACCAAGUAAAAUGAGAUCAGAAAACUCACCUUGGCUGCCAAACCAUGGCUUGUCGAACCUACGCAAGGGCUUCAAUCAGACAAAGCAUUCCGAACCUUCAAAGUAUACGUUCUGGACUUCAUCAAUGUCUAGGACAUUUCUAUCUAGUCUAGUAGCACGACGAAGUCAGCCUUAACUAAUGGAACCCGAAUGACUUCGGCUAACACGUCUAUCUAUUUAGUAGGUUGCUGUGUACAAUCAGCGUAUUUGAAAAAAAGAAAAGAAUGACCAGCGAUGAACGCUAAAAGCUUUAACAGGUAUUAGACGAGCCAGUGAGUGGUAAAAGAGACGUAGGACACAACGAAGGUGGCUUACUGUAUACGAGCUAUAUACAGGUCUAAGUCUAUACUCUUGGGGUAAAAAAACCCACCAGACGACGCGUGUACUAGCCGAUUUUCAGACCCCCACAAGACUUCGAGACCAAAGACUGGUUGCCUCAAUAAAAAAAACAAUAAGUAGUACCAAAAUGAACCUACUAAUUAGUUCAACAAAAAUCGUUACCAGUCAAUUCAAAGGAUAUUUGUACACACCUAUUAUUUGGUACCAGUCGAUUCAAACGAUUAUUGGUACCAGUCAAUUUAAAAGUAGUACCAGUCAAAACAAUAAGUAGAGAUAUAUAAAUAAAUUUCACCUAUUAUUUGUAUACACACCACCUGUGUACUGGUGUCUGCGUACACCUUAAACCUUUCAAAACUAGUAGAUACUCAACUCGUUUUAAAUGGGUUCAAACAAAUAAAUAAAGAAAGCAUGGAUGUAAAACUGGAAAAGUAUCUUAAUGUUUAUGGUACUAGUAUGGUAUAGUAUAGUCCUCUCGUACCAACGUGAGAGUUAGAGUAGGCUCUUUCAGAGUAGGCUC
rnacentral:rRNA from 1 species